rnacentral:rRNA from 1 species
AUGUACGACCACAGAAAGAGGACAAUUGGGUAUCCCGUCCGCUCUGCCUUACACAAGCCUCUUAUCGAUAGCGUAGUAGCAUGGUUGGUGACAACAUGCGAAUGGCUAUUGUUGUACAUG